CCUACGGGAGACUGCAGUGAGGAAUAUUGGUCAAUGGGCUUACGCCUGAACCAGCCAAGUCGCGUGAGGGAAGACUGCCCUAUGGGUUGUAAACCUCUUUGGUCAGGGAGCAACGCCGGCUACGUGUAGCCGGACUGAGAGUACCUGAAGAAAAAGCAUCGGCUAACUCCGUGCCAGCAGCCGCGGUAACACGGAGGGGGCAAGCGUUAUCCGGAUUUACUGGGUGUAAAGGGAGCGUAGACGGUGCGCCAAGUCUGGAGUGAAAUGCCGCAGCUUAACUGCGGAACUGCUUUGGAAACUGGCGAACUAGAGUGCGGGAGGGGUAAGCGGAAUUCCUAGUGUAGCGGUGAAAUGCAUAGAUAUCACGCAGAACUCCGAUCGCGAAGGCAGCCUACCGGCGCGCAACUGACGCUCAUGCACGAAAGCGUGGGUAUCGAACAGGAUUAGAUACCCGAGUAGUC
rnacentral:rRNA from 1 species